rnacentral:rRNA from 1 species
UGGGGAAUAUUGGACAAUGGGCGAAAGCCUGAUCCAGCCAUGCCGCGUCUGUGAAGAAGGUCUUCGGAUUGUAAAGCACUUUAAGUUGGGAGGAAGGGCAUUAACCUAAUACGUUAGUGUUUUGACGUUACCGACAGAAUAAGCACCGGCUAACUCUGUGCCAGCAGCCGCGGUAAUACAGAGGGUGCAAGCGUUAAUCGGAAUUACUGGGCGUAAAGCGCGCGUAGGUGGUUUGUUAAGUUGGAUGUGAAAUCCCCGGGCUCAACCUGGGAACUGCAUUCAAAACUGACUGACUAGAGUAUGGUAGAGGGUGGUGGAAUUUCCUGUGUAGCGGUGAAAUGCGUAGAUAUAGGAAGGAACACCAGUGGCGAAGGCGACCACCUGGACUAAUACUGACACUGAGGUGCGAAAGCGUGGGGAGCAAACA